rnacentral:rRNA from 1 species
AACGAACGCUGGCGGCAGGCUUAACACAUGCAAGUCGAGCGGGCAUAGCAAUAUGUCAGCGGCAGACGGGUGAGUAACGCGUGGGAAUCUACCCAACCCUACGGAAUAACGCAUGGAAACGUGUGCUAAUACCGUAUACGCCCUAACGGGGAAAGAUUUAUCGGGGAGGGAUGAGCCCGCGUUGGAUUAGCUAGUUGGUGGGGUAAAGGCCUACCAAGGCGACGAUCCAUAGCUGGUCUGAGAGGAUGAUCAGCCACAUGGGGACUGAGACACAGCCCAAACUCCUACGGGAGGAAGCAGUAGGGAAUAUUGGACAAUGGGCGCAAGCCUGAUCCAGCCAUGCGGCGUGAGUGAAGAAGGCCCUAGGGUUGUAAAGCUCUUUCACCGGAGAAGAUCAUGACGGUAUCCGGAGAAGAAGCCCAGGCUAACUUCGUGCCAGCAGCCGCCGUAA